rnacentral:tRNA from 1 species
GCUGGAGUGGCAGAGCCCGGUUAAUGCAAAAGACUUAAUCCCUUUUAAGGGAGGUUCAAGUCCUCCCUCCAGCU